AUUGAACGCUGGCGGCAGGCCUAACACAUGCAAGUCGAGCGGAUGAAGGGAGCUUGCUCCUGGAUUCAGCGGCGGACGGGCGAGUAAUGCCUAGGAAUCUGCCUGGUAGUCGGGGAUAACGUCCGGAAACGGGCGCUAAUACCGCAUACGUCCUGAGGGAGAAAGUGGGGGAUCUUCGGACCUCACGCUAUCAGAUGAGCCUAGGUCGGAUUAGCUAGUUGGUGGGGUAAAGGCCUACCAAGGCGACGAUCCGUAACUGGUCUGAGAGGAUGAUCAGUCACACUGGAACUGAGACACGGUCCAGACUCCUACGGGAGGCAGCAGUGGGGAAUAUUGGACAAUGGGCGAAAGCCUGAUCCAGCCAUGCCGCGUGUGUGAAGAAGGUCUUCGGAUUGUAAAGCACUUUAAGUUGGGAGGAAGGGCAGUAAGUUAAUACCUUGCUGUUUUGACGUUACCAACAGAAUAAGCACCGGCUAACUUCGUG
rnacentral:rRNA from 1 species